rnacentral:misc_RNA from 1 species
CGCACCUUGCGCCCUUUGGUAUUCCGAAGGGCAUGCCUGUUUGAGUGUCAUGUAGACUCACCCCAUUAGGUUUUUUCCUAAUGGCGGUGGAUUGGGCGUCUUUGCCUCGGUAACACCUGGCUCGCCUUAAAUACCUUAGUAGGCUUUACGGAUGUAAUAAGUUUCAUCCCUUGCCGGCUUAUAACAACCAAUACAUUUUACUCUUGACCUCAAAUCAGGUAGGACUACCCGCUGAACUUAA